rnacentral:rRNA from 1 species
UACGGGGGGAGCAAGCGUUGUUCGGAUUUACUGGGCGUAAAGCGUGCGUAGGCGGUUUGUUAAGUCUGUCGUGAAAGCCCCGGGCUCAACCUGGGAAUGGCGAUGGAUACUGGCGAGCUAGAGUACGGUAGAGGAGAGUGGAAUUCCCGGUGUAGCAGUGAAAUGCGUAGAGAUCGGGAGGAACAUCAGUUGCGGAAGGCGGCUCUCUGGACCAGUACUGACGCUGAGGCACGAAAGCGUGGGGAGCAAACAGG